AGCGGAGCCAGCAGGAGUCCGAGGCCGAGGCGCGCAGGGCGUGGCUCGGUGAAUGGAAGUGGUGGCUGAGAGAGGGACCGGGAAUGACCGGCCCGGGCCCGGGAGCGCACACAGUUGGAGUAGGUUAACGGGGCGAGAAGUCGUGGAAGGGAGAUGGUGGAGCCCCUAGUUCAACUCUGGAAAUGUCCCCACAGGGGAGGAGAAAACUUUUUGAGCGGGAACCGAUGUGAACAAUGCGCAAUCUGUGACUCAACCGGGACCUGAACGGGGAGAAGCAGCUAGCGGACGCCGCAGUAGGCAGGGAGGCGGCCCAGAGUCUGCUCAGGGGGGGCUUCCAACUGGGUGUAACUGGGUUUGCCACCCACGUGGAGACGGUCCCCUUCAGUGCUUACUGUGUGUAUCCCAACAUCAGGGGCUUCAGUUCCAGGAAGGGGCAUAUAGGUUUUUUUAAUUAAUUAAUAAGCUGCGGCUCACUUUAUGAUGGACAGACAGACAGCCUGGCGCCUGCGGCAGGCGAUGAAGUUUUAGACGGAGCGGCCAGGGGACCACCGCCAGGCGCCAUCUCUGCCCUGUGGACCUAAGGAGACCCCAGAGCCGUGCAAAGAGCAGCUUGCCAAGCAGAGGGGACUGUGGGGAGGCCCUGAAUGGGGACAGGUGAAUGCAUCCGAUGACAGACCGCCACGCGGGAGAACCAGGGAAGAGCCGCCUGCCAGCCGGCGCCAGGAUGGACUUCGGACAGACAAGCGCAGAGUCGGGCCCAGACCCCGCGCCCGGGCAGCGGACUCGAGAAAGCCCAGGAGGAGGCAGGGCCGCUGGGAGCGCAGGCCUGCAGAGCCCGGCAGGACCCCGCCGGGCGGAGGAGGCGGCUCGGGAAGGCCCCAGGCGCCCGGGGCGCACGUUGGGUGCGACCACAGCCGGGAAUCCCCGGCGGGCGCCCCACUCAUCCCCGCCCCCCGGGUGCGGCUGUCCCCGAGGCAGCGCAGGCCUGCGGUGUAGUCCCGGAACUGGGGAGGUGUGAUGCAAAGUCGCACUGACCCAAAGAGAUCUUGGUCAGCGAGGAGGAAGGGAAGGACGUCGCCAAGUACCAAGGGUGACUCAGGUUUUGGAUUAUGAUUGGAAUCCAAUACGAUUCCAUUUAGAGGAAGGGGAGACACUACAAAACAAUGAAACUCUGUACCCAAGCACGUCAGGGGCUGGAAUCAGAGAAGAGAAAACAGAAAUGAGGCCGCUCGGGACGGAAACGCCAGUGCUGGUGGGGCACUGACGGCGGGAGGCCCCUCGCACCCGCCCACGUUCAGCAGGAACCUAGCUGCCCGGAAGGCGACUGCCACCUGGCUGAGCUGGCGCUUGCUGCCCCCUACCCCCCACCUGCCUCCCAUCUGCCUCUCGGCCCCUUCCCAACAAGCAUCCCCUCUGCCCCCACCAGCACUUCUGCCUUCGUGGGAGCCCCCACCCCAAGUCAAGCCUAACCCAAAGGUCCCAGCUGAAUCCCGCCCCCCGCUAACUUGGUGCCUGGUCUCUGAGACGGGAAGUUAAGGCAUGUUGCUCCUCUUCACAGCCUCUGAGUAGAUGCACAAGGUGCUGAGACCAGGGAAGAAUGAAAGGAAGGAAAAUCUGAGUCUAGGACAAAGCGGAAGUCCUGAUGGAAAUGAGAAGCAGGGGGCUGAGCUGGGGUGCUCAACGACAGUGGAAAGGCCAAGGCUACAGGCAAAGACUUGAAAGUCAGGAAAAUGCAGGGAGCACUGAGCAUGAAGAAUGUCCUUGGGGCUAACCCCCGGGAGCAGGCAACUUCUCAGCCCUCCUCAACACCCGUGUGGCAGCUGUGUGAGCCCCUGUCCCCGGCCCAUGAGAGGACAAGUGACCCAAGCUCGCUCAGAAGCCCAGAUGUCAUCUUGGAGAGACCUGUUGCAACCAUGUCCCAGCCUGGAGUCCUCUGGUCACCCUGAGAGCCCCGUGGGAGCUGGUACACUAUUCCACCACCUCUGCACUCUGCAGCCAGCUGGCGUUCCGACUGCUAAGAGGCAACACCUUAUAAAACAUAAACACAAGGAGAAAAAAAAAUGCACUUGGGUGACGUCCAAUAGUGACGUGGAGAAAGAGCCCAUCCUGGAAAAGCUGCCUCCGCAGGCAUCUGAUACUAACCUUGAUCUGUCACACACAUCAUGGAGGGUAGCGCGGAGGGCAUGUGUCAGCUUUAAUUAAUAGCUAACCAUCCCAUAGUGGAGGCGGGUUCUCUCCUUCACUGGAAUUUUCCAUUAGACUUGCUAAUGAUAUUUUAUGUCAAGUAAGUUAUAAAUUGAGCUGAAAAGUCAAGGUUGUGAGAGCGUAAGAAAGGAAGGCCAGACGGAAGGCGGAAGGCACUCGGCUUAACACAAUAUUAGCAUCCCCUGUGUAAUCAAUGACCAAGAUGUUCCUUAAACAUCUCUGAAGCUCAGGAUUCAAGGAAAGAUGUGCUCUUCGUCCUUGCUGAGCUGUGACAUCUGAGGAGAACAAACCCAACCACCAAGAGGCCGCACCCUCAAAUUCAGUUCCAAUGAAACUUUCCACGGCCCUAAAUUUAAACAGCUGGAUUAUCAUUCACAAACUGUCUUCUCAGCCUUUUGGAAAUGAGAGACUCCUGAUGAGAGAUGUGCAUUUCAUUUUUUGAACAGGACACAGUGUUCUGGACCUCGUUUAUGCUCCAUGUAAAUAGUCUUUUUUAAGAAGUGUGUGUUUAUCAUAUGCUACUGACACAGGUCACAGUAAACUCAUUUCCAUCAUGGGAGGUUUCCAGUGUGCAGAGGAGGUUCAGAAGAAUACAAGCCUUAUAACAAAACAACUCUGCUUCCAAGUUUUAAAUUCAAGUCAUGAAAAAUGUGGUGUGAAAGCAUUGCUAAAUUCCAUUUUAAACAUCUGAAGCUCAUAGGACAAACUUGGUCAAGGGAAGAGGAAGUGUACAAAAUAAGUGAGCCAAGAGUAGUGGCCUGUCAUCCAAGCCACUCAGGAGGCUGAGGCAAAAGGGUCACAAGUUCGGGGUUAGUCUCAGCAACUUAGUGAAACCCUGUAUCAAAAUAAAAUCUAAAAAGGUCAGGGGCUGUAGAUCAGUGGUAGAAUGCUCCAGGGUUCAAUCCCCAGUAGUGCAAUAAAUAAAACCAAGUGUGUCAGAUAUCAGGACUUAAGUCAGCAGCGUUUUUGCAGAGGAAACCACGCACCUGGAUGAUUUCCUAAAUUCUGUCUCAAUCAGGGAAAGCCAUGUGGAACCUGAAAACCUUGGAUUUAGGACAACUGCAGUAUUUGGGGAGAAGGAGACAUCUUUGCAUCCCGAACCCUACUCUCAGCAUCAAGGUCUUCAGAACCCUCAGGCUGAAGGUCCCAACCUGGAGAUACCAAGCACAGGGAUAUAUGCUGACAUACAAAGAUACCCAGAACA